rnacentral:rRNA from 1 species
GUACGUAGCAAUACGUAUUGUAAAGUGGCGCACGGGUGAGUAACACGUGGGUAAUCUGCCUUUGAGUUUGGGAUAACCCCGCGAAAGCGGGGCUAAUACCGAAUAAGACCACGGGGACCAAAGUCCCUGAGGUAAAAGAUGGCCUCUAUUUAUAAGCUAUCACUUGAAGAUGAGCCCGCGGCCCAUUAGCUUGUUGGCAGGGUAAUGGCCUACCAAGGCAAUGAUGGGUAGCUGGUCUGAGAGGACGAUCAGCCACACUGGAACUGAGACACGGUCCAGACUCCUACGGGAGGCAGCAGUGGGGAAUAUUGCGCAAUGGGCGAAAGCCUGACGCAGCAACGCCGCGUGGGGGAUGAAGGUUCUCGGA